GGGGGGGGGUGCCUAUACAUGCAAGUCGAGCGCAGGAAGUUAUCUGAUCCUCUUUUAGAGGUGACGAUAAUGGAAUGAGCGGCGGACGGGUGAGUAACACGUAGGCAACCUGCCUGUAAGACUGGGAUAACUCGUGGAAACGCGAGCUAAUACCGGAUAACACUUUUCAUCUCCUGAUGAGAAGUUGAAAGGCGGCUUUUGCUGUCACUUACAGAUGGGCCUGCGGCGCAUUAGCUAGUUGGUAAGGUAAUGGCUUACCAAGGCGACGAUGCGUAGCCGACCUGAGAGGGUGAUCGGCCACACUGGGACUGAGACACGGCCCAGACUCCUACGGGAGGCAGCAGUAGGGAAUCUUCCGCAAUGGACGAAAGUCUGACGGAGCAACGCCGCGUGAGUGAUGAAGGUUUUCGGAUCGUAAAACUCUGUUGUUAGGGAAGAACAAGUGCCAUAGUAACUGAUGGCACCUUGACGGUACCUAACCAGAAAGCCACGGCUAACUACGUGCCAGCAGCCGCGGUAAUACGUAGGUGGCAAGCGUUGUCCGGAAUUAUUGGGCGUAAAGCGCUCGCAGGCGGUUCUUUAAGUCUGAUGUGAAAUCUUACGGCUCAACCGUAAACGUGCAUUGGAAACUGGGGAACUUGAGUGCAGAAGAGGAGAGUGGAAUUCCACGUGUAGCGGUGAAAUGCGUAGAGAUGUGGAGGAACACCAGUGGCGAAGGCGACUCUCUGGUCUGUAACUGACGCUGAGGAGCGAAAGCGUGGGGAGCGAACAGGAUUAGAUACCCUGGUAGUCCACGCCGU
rnacentral:rRNA from 1 species